GCCCAUAUGUUAUGGACAAAUAAGGAGGGAGACUGGUAAGCAAUCCAAUGAUGGGCUCAUCACUCCCUCUCAAAUUCGCUGUCCUUUUUUCCAUCUCUCUCGCCGGCGCCGCCUCCUUCGCCACCACUACCUUCGCCACUUCUCUCCCCUUCUUCAAACCAAAGCCCAAACCCAAAGCAACAGUCUCGGAUUUGCUCUCCCUUCUGGGUUCACACCAACAGGCCCGUUCCGUCAACUCCCAGGUGGCCCGAGAAUUGCGGUCCCGCUUCAAGUUCCUCGUGCCCUUUAGUCCCACUCAACGGCUCAGGCCGGAGUCUUCUUCGGCCCGGCGAUUGCUGAACGAUCGGAACAAGAGAGACGACGAUGAGCUGAUUUGGUGGCCUCCGGCUCCAGUAAUGGAGCUCGCUCGGCUCGCCGUUGACUCUGGUGGUGAUCCUGGGGCUAUCCAUAUUGCUCUUGAUCCAACCAUUAUCCCAGUUCCUGAUGUGGAAGGAACGAAGGAAGAUCGAUGUGAGCUUACUAGAACCCCUUAUGGGAGACACUUCAUAAAUGAGGAGUUGAAUUCGUACCUAAAGUUUUUAUUUGAAAUUAUAGUUCAGAGGGGUCCCAGUGUAGGGCUGAAUGUUUCAUUGAAUCGCUAUGACUUUUUUCACGGCCACCUUUUCCUUGCCAUGGAUUCUGGAAGACUUGGUAUUUUGUUUCAUGCUAAAGAGUACCCCGCAUAUGAUAAAGAAGUUUUUCCAUACAAUAUGGGCUACUGCCAAGUGGGGUCUAACGUUCCUUACGAUGAUGGAAUGAAUUUAAGAAAUAUUUUAUGGCUUGCUCCAUUGCCAAGUAAUUCUACAAAAUCAUGGUUGGCACCAGGUACUUCUCCCUUGUUCAUUAGUGGCCGAAAAAAAAAGGGGGGGGAAAAAUCUCCAGUUACAGGGAUGUUUCCUUGAGCAAGCAUUCAGAAUUGUUUGGAAUUGCUUUUCACAACAAACCUGUAACGAGUAUUGUUUCAAAUUGGCCGUUUUAGCUAUCAUAUAGGGGCCGAACUUGGUUAACUGGUGGACAAGAUCCAUCUAUUGCUUCAUGGUGGUGGUUCUAAAUUUAUUUUUGAUAUGCACAAUCACUGUGGAGGCUCUAAGGUAACUUGUGGCUUAAGCACAAAGCAAGGUGCCAGUUUCGUUGACGUAUAGCUAAUAUCAUAUUCUAAAUGAGAAGUUCCCUGUAAUGUUUAAUAUAUUCAUAUAGCAAGUUUCAGCAAAUAUCGAUUAAAAGCAAUUAUAGUCUGAUUAAGCCAUUGAAAGAAAUCAAACACUUAAAUUGGAUUUAGCAUGAAAAGACAAUAUUCAUCUCCUUAAAUUCAUAAGCCCGAAUAUGAGGAUCCCAGAAAAGCUACAUUUACGUUAUGAACCUUGAAACUUCAAUCCCUAAAGUAUUGUUUUCGUUCAUUCACAUCUAAUGGAAAUAUAGUCUGGAAAAAACUCAUUUCAAAACUCUUUUUGAGUGUUGAACCAAUAAUCACUCUCUUUCAGUACACCAUAUUCAAUAUGAAAAUAUUUCUGGUGUCUUAUAUCAUUUUUCAGAGAAGUCGAACAUGCUGUAUGAGGUAUAGGAGGUUUGGCAACUAUCAGUACGAGUUUAAUAAUUAGAAUAAAGUAGUAUAAUAGAAGGAAUAUCAAGCCUGACCCUGGGAAAUACAGGCAGGAAAUCAAUCCAAAACAAAAAGGAGGAGGAAGGAAAAACAAGCAUCUUACUCUCCCUUUUUAAAGUAAAUUGCCGGUGUAUCAAAAUAACCAUAUUUACACAAUCUCUUUUCCUAAUAUUCUUGUUGGCAGGAGUUUUAGUAGUCUUGGAUGCACAUCCCGAAGGAAUCAUUUACCAAGAUCUCAUUCCUGAAUAUGUCCAUGUUGCAAGGACACUCUAUGAAGAUGAUUUUGGGGAAGUUGCAGUUGAUGUUAACUACCUCAACAUAGGUCCCAACUUCGAGAUCUUCAUUUGCUGACAACUCAGAGCAUCAAUGGAUUUAUAUCUUAGAUUCUCAAGGAUGCUAGGAAAUGUUUCAGGAUUUGCCUGCAUGUUCCCAUCUUAAUUUAUUUUGGCGAUUCUGGUUAUCUGUUUUGUUGAUUGUUUCUUGGAUUGAAUACCAUACAUUUGCACUGAACAAGCCACAAUGUCUUUGUAAGGUUUACCAGUGUGCUUAUUGACCUCAAUUUGUAGUCCUUGAACUAAGCUUCUGUUUGGGUUAGUUAAAAAUUAUAUUUUUAGUAUA